CUUUCACAGAGUUCUCUGGAAGAGGUGGGGUUUAAAGCACUGAUACCAGAUGUGAUCUUCUAAACUUCAAGUCUUUUGGAGAGAGAAUAAUAAACACACAAUGAUUCUCCAUUUGGUCAUUCUCCUUUCUGUAUUUGCAUAUGCAACAUAUGGAAAUGAAAUUAAACCAACCAAAACAGAGGUGUUUGCUGAUGAGGGUUCAAGUGUUAAAUUAUCCUACAGUUAUUUAUCUGCAGAUACUCUUUACUGGUAUCGUCAGUAUCCUGGAUCAGCUCCUGAGUUCAUUGUGCUCAUCUUUGACACUGAAAAACAAGCUCAGGAGUCUAAUGUAGAUUCCAGAUUCACUGCCAAAGUCACCAAAGACAAAGAAAACCAUGUGGAUCUGAUCAUCUCCUCUGCUGCUGUAUCAGACUCUGCUCUGUACUACUGUGCUCUGAGGCCCACAGUGACAGGAAACACAAAAAACACUGUACAAAAACCUGACACAGAUAAAGUUCAGCUAUUUUUUCCAAUUUGGCAUCAAACUAUAAGAGGAUGA